UACGUAGGGGGCAAGCGUUGUCCGGAUUUAUUGGGCGUAAAGAGCGUGUAGGCGGCCAGACAGGUCCGUUGUGAAAACUCGAGGCUCAACCUCGAGAUGUCGAUGGAAACCGUCUGGCUAGAGUCCGGAAGAGGAGUGUGGAAUUCCUGGUGUAGCGGUGAAAUGCGCAGAUAUCAGGAAGAACACCUAUGGCGAAGGCAGCACUCUGGGACGGUACUGACGCUGAGGCACGAAAGCGUGGGGAGCGAACAGG
rnacentral:rRNA from 1 species